rnacentral:rRNA from 1 species
GGUAGCAUAAUCAUUAGUCUUUUAAUUGGAGGCUCGUAUGAAUGGUUGGACAAAAAGCAAACUGUCUCAAUUAUAUUUAUUGAAUUUAACUUUUAAGUGAAAAGGCUUAAAUAAAUUAAGGGGACGAUAAGACCCUAUAAAGCUUUACAAUAAGUUACCUAUAUUAUAAAUUGUUAGUAUAACUUGAGUUUAGGUAACGUUUGUUGCGUUGGGGCGACGAGAAUAUAAUAAGUAACUGUUCUUAAGUUAUUUAAUGACAGAAAUUUCUGGAAAAUUAAUGAUCCUCUACUAGAGAUCAUAAGAUUAAGUUACUUUAGGGAUAACAGCGUAAUCUUCUUUGAGAGUCCACAUCGACAGGAAGGGUUGCGACCUCGAUGUUGAAUUAAGGGUUCCUUAUAAUGCAGCAGUUAUAAAGGAGGGUCUGUUCGACCUUUAAAUCCUU